rnacentral:piRNA from 1 species
UGGAAAUCAACGUCUUGCCAUCUGAA